rnacentral:tRNA from 1 species
GACCCAAUAGCUCAGUUGGCAGAGCACCUGACUUUUAAUCAGGGUGUCCGCAGUUCGAACCUGCGUUGGGUCACCA